GGAGGUGUGGCUGAGUGGUUGAAGGCGCCGCUCUCGAAAAGCGGUAUGCUGGAAACGGCAUCGGAGGUUCGAAUCCUCCCACCUCCG
rnacentral:tRNA from 1 species